AUUGAGCGCUGGCGGCAUGCCUUACACAUGCAAGUCGAACGGCAGCGCGGGAGCAAUCCUGGCGGCGAGUGGCGAACGGGUGAGUAAUAUAUCGGAACGUGCCCAGUAGUGGGGGAUAGCCCGGCGAAAGCCGGAUUAAUACCGCAUACGACCUACGGGUGGAAGGGGGGGAUCGCAAGACCUCUCGCUAUUGGAGCGGCCGAUAUCAGAUUAGGUAGUUGGUGGGGUAAAGGCCUACCAAGCCUGCGAUCUGUAGUUGGUCUGAGAGGACGACCAGCCACACUGGGACUGAGACACGGCCCAGACUCCUACGGGAGGCAGCAGUGGGGAAUUUUGGACAAUGGGCGCAAGCCUGAUCCAGCAAUGCCGCGUGCAGGAAGAAGGCCUUCGGGUUGUAAACUGCUUUUGUCAGGGAAGAAAUCCUCUGGGUUAAUACCUCGGGGGGAUGACGGUACCUGAAGAAUAAGCACCGGCUAACUACGUGCCAGCCGCCGCCGUAAUAC
rnacentral:rRNA from 1 species